rnacentral:misc_RNA from 1 species
UCCGAGUUGUCCCCGGCAGUCUCCUAUGAGUCCCCACCAUUACGUGCUGGCAACAUAGAACAAGGGUUGCGCUUGUUGCGGGACUUAACCCAACAUCUCACGACACGAGCUGACGACAGCCAUGCACCACCUGUCAUGGGCCCUUACGGACACCGUAUUUCUACGGCUCUUCCCAUGAUGUCAAGCCCAGGUAAGGUUCUUCGGGUUGCAUCGAAUUAAGCCGCAUGCUCCGCCGCUUGUGCGGGGACCCGUCAAUUCCUUUGAGUUUCAUUCUUGCGAACGUACUCCCCAGGUGGUGUGCUUACUGCGUUAACUGCGUCACGGACCCGCACGGGCCCACAACUAGCACACAUCGUUUACAGCGUGGACUAC